ensembl:lncRNA
UUAGAAUCAUAGGAGUUUUAAUCUUCAUUAUUACCAUCAAUAUCAUCAUCACAAUCAUCAUGUUCAUCACCAUCAUUAUCAUCAUCAUCAUCACAAUCAUCUUCAUCACCAUCAUCUUCAUCAUUAUCACAAUCAUCAUCAUCUUCAUCAUUAGCGAUAUCAAUUAUAGUCUUCAUCAUCAUCGGUUACAUUCUCAUCGUUUCUGUUUAUUAAAUACUUGUAUAGCAUUUAGUUUCUUUUUUUAAUAAUAUGUAUCAUCCAUUUCAAUGUUUUUUUACAUAAGAAUAAAGUUUAGAAUAAAUAAAGAAUAAAGAAUAAAGUUCAGGAGAAGAAUUAACAGCAUCAGACUGGGAGAGACAGAAAGAAAGAGGUGGUGGUGGUGGUGAUGAUGAUGGAGAGAGAGGUGGUGGUGGUGAUGAUGAUGGAGAGAGAGGUGGUGGUGGUGAUGAUGAUGAUGAUGGAGAGAGAGGUGGUGGUGGUGGUGGUGAUGAUGAUGAUGGAGAGAGAGGUGGUGGUGGUGGUGAUGAUGAUGAUGGAGAGAGAGGUGGUGGUGGUGGUGGUGAUGAUGAUGAUGGAGAGAGAGGUGGUGGUGGUGGUGGUGAUGAUGAUGAUGGAGAGAGAGGUAGUGGUGGUGGUGGUGGUGAUGAUGAUGGAGAGAGAGGUGGUGGUGGUGAUGAUGAUGAUGGAGAGAGAGAGGUGGUGGUGGUGGUGGUGAUGAUGAUGAUGGAGAGAGCGGUAGUGGUGGUGGUGGUGAUGAUGGAGAAAGAGGUGGUGGUGAUGAUGAUGGAGAGAGAGGUGGUGGUGGUGGUGGUGAUGAUGAUGAUGGAGAGAGAGGUAGUGGUGGUGGUGGUGGUGAUGAUGAUGGAGAGAGAGGUGGUGGUGGUGAUGAUGAUGAUGGAGAGAGAGGUGGUGGUGGUGGUGGUGAUGAUGAUGAUGGAGAGAGAGGUAGUGGUGGUGGUGGUGAUGAUGGAGAGAGAGGUGGUGGUGGUGAUUAUGAUGGAGAGAGAGGUGGUGGUGGUGAUGAUGAUGAUGGAGAGAGAGGUGGUGGUGGUGGUGGUGAUGAUGAUGAUGGAGAGAGAGGUAGUGGUGGUGGUGGUGAUGAUGAUGAUGGAGAGAGAGGUGGUGGUGGUGGUGGUGAUGAUGAUGGAGAGAGAGGUGGUGGUGGUGAUGAUGAUGAUGGAGAGAGAGGUGGUGGUGGUGGUGGUGGUGAUGAUGGAGAGAGAGGUGGUGGUGGUGGUGAUGAUGGAGAGAGAGGUGGUGGUGGUGGUGAUGAUGAUGAUGGAGAGAGAGGUAUUGGUGGUGGUGGUGAUGAUGAUGGAGAGAGAGAUGGUGGUGGUGGUGAUGAUGGAGAGAGAGGUAGUGGUGGUGGUGGUGAUGAUGAUGGAGAGAGAGGUGGUGGUGGUGGUGGUGAUGAUGAUGGAGAGAGAGGUGGUGGUGGUGGUGGUGAUGAUGAUGGAGAGAGAGGUGGUGGUGGUGGUGGUGAUGAUGAUGGAGAGAGAGGUGGUGGUGGUGGUGAUGAUGAUGAUGGAGAGAGAGGUGGUGGUGGUGGUGAUGAUGAUGAUGGAGAGAGAGGUGGUGGUGGUGAUGAUGAUGAUGGAGAGAGAGGUGGUGGUGGUGAUGAUGAUGGAGAGAGAGAGGUGGUGGUGGUGAUGAUGAUGAUGGAGAGAGAGGUGGUGGUGGUGGUGAUGAUGAUGAUGGAGAGAGAGGUGGUGGUGGUGGUGGUGAUGAUGAUGAUGGAGAGAGAGGUGGUGGUGGUGGUGAUGAUGAUGAUGGAGAGAGAGGUGGUGGUGGUGAUGAUGAUGAUGAAGAGAGAGGUGGUGGUGGUGAUGAUGAUGAUGGAGAGAGAGGUGGUGGUGGUGAUGAUGAUGAUGGAGAGAGGGGUGGUGGUGGUGGUGGACAGGAACAGUUUGAUGUUGAACACCUGGCCUGACAGGAACAGUUUGAUGUUGAACACCUGGCCUGACAGGAACAGUUUGAUG